AAUGGAAUAGCUGGGUCAAAUGGUGGUUCCAUUCCAAGUUUCUGAGGAAUCUCCAAACUGCUUUCUAUGGUGGUUUCACCAAUUUGGAGUCCCACCAGCAAU
rnacentral:pre_miRNA from 1 species